GCACUCGAGGACGUAUCAACAGAGACCCAAGCUCCGGAACCACCAAUAUGGAGAUGUCAGGUAGACGCUUCAUGGAUAAGUACUCGGGAGGCUACUGGUCUAGGUUUCGUGAUAAUAAAUGCAGGAACGACAACUCUGUUUGGGGCAAAGAGAGUAAGCACGGCGGAAUCUCCUCUACAUGCAGAGGCUGAAGGGCUCGUAUGGGCAAUGCAGGAAUCGCUAAACAGAGGAUACAUGUCAGUGCACUUUGAAUCAGAUUGUCAACAAUUAGUGAAUCUAUUACAACGAGAUGAAAAGGAGUGGCCGGCAUUGGCAUCAGAACUGGAUGAAAUUAAAGCUCUGUGUACUAGCUUCGACACUUUCUCUAUUGCGUAUGUUUCACGGUCUCUCAACAUCCGUGCGGAUGGCCUAGCAAAAGGGGUCCGUUCACGCGAUCUCAGGGUUACUUAUGUUCAAAGCUGCGCUCCAUGGUGGCUAGCCCCUGUUGCUAACCAAAUGGAUGCAGUCUAAGUUUGGUUUUUUAUUUCGAUGUCAAAAAAAAAAAAAAAGAAUAAAAAUAUCUUGUAACUGGUCAUAUAUUGUUUCAUUGUUCUAUAACUUCGAAGUAUGACCGGUUCUGGCUGGGUCUGUUGUUCGGUUCGAUGCGUUCUCCAGCCUCCGAUUCGGUUCAUCAACUGUGUCGGGGGUGGGGGGGAGGUGGUUCUUUCUAGUAGCAAUAGAUUAAGUGAUUGAGGGGCAAAAGAAACAUUCUCAUAUGUUGUUAAAGGAUGGCUACUUCUUUAGUUGAGCUACUUCUCUGGAUCUUUUAUUAGAUCGUUAUGGCGGUUCCGUUUUUUUCAUGGUUUCCUUUUCCACCGUUUUGUGCUCGCCCAGCACAAUAAGAGCUUGGUUUGACAGCGGUUGUUUUGUUGGCUUUUCUUUUCAGAUAGUAGAUUUUCACUUGAAAGCUUUGGUUGUAGAGACUCUCGCGAUCAACGAGUGCUUUUGCGAAUGAACGGUUUUUAUGCAGUGGUGUGGAGUCGCUAUCCGUGAUGCAAAUAUUCCGGCUAGAUCGGUGCAAUCACAACACACGAUUGUAUCUUUAUUUGGGAUCUUCGGUUUUCACCGGACCGAUCUUUUUUGUUCCUUAUGCAUUUAAUUGGGUUUUUAAUUUGUUGUAGUUGUUCGCAUUAGAAGUGGUAGCCAAAAAACGUUGUAGGUGCUUGUAUGGUUUUGGAAUGGCCUUUCUACUGUCAGUAGUGAAAAUGAGCAUUGGCUAGGCAUCAGC
rnacentral:lncRNA from 1 species